AACGAACGCUGGCGGCGCGCCUAAUACAUGCAAGUCGAGCGAGAAGGUGUAGCAAUACACUUGUAAAGCGGCGAACGGGUGAGGAAUACAUGGGUAAUCUACCAUCGAGUGGGGAAUAACCAACCGAAAGGUUGGCUAAUACCGCGUACGCCUCCGAGUCUUCGGGUUCGGAGGGAAAGCUGCACUGUGAGUGUAGCGCUUUUUGAUGAGCUCAUGUCCUAUCAGCUUGUUGGUAGGGUAACGGCCUACCAAGGCUUUGACGGGUAGCUGGUCUGAGAGGACGAUCAGCCACACUGGCACUGCGACACGGGCCAGACUCCUACGGGAGGCAGCAGUGGGGAAUAUUGGACAAUGGGCGCAAGCCUGAUCCAGCCAUGCCGCGUGAGUGACGAAGGUCUUCGGAUUGUAAAGCUCUUUUGGCGGGGACGAUAAUGACGGUACCCGCAGAAUAAGCCCGGCUAACUUCGUGCCAGCAGCCGCGUAAGGCACG
rnacentral:rRNA from 1 species